AAGGAAUGGAAAGCAUGGAGAGUUGAGAAGGAAAGAAAGAUGGGAAGGUACAGAUACCACGUAGAAACGGUUCAGCCAUGUUUGUUUCUCAGCAGGCUUCACAUAUUCAUCCACCUCCUCGCCGUCGUUUCCCUCUGUUACUACCGCAUAUCACACCUCUUCCACCAACCACCAACCGCGCCAUGGAUACUCAUCACCAUCGCCGAGCUUCUUCUCUCUGCGCUCUGGUUCUUCAACCAGGCCUUCCGCUGGCACCCCGUCUCGCGUACAACCAUCACCGACAAGCUGCCGAGGGAGGAGAACCUGCCGGGGCUGGACAUCUUCGUGUGCACGCUGGACCCUGAGAAGGAGCCCACGGUGCAGGUGAUGGACACGGUUGUUUCCGCCAUUGCCAUGGACUACCCUUCUGAUAAGCUGGCGGUGUAUCUGUCGGACGACGGUGGGUGUCCGGUGACUCUGUACGCGAUGAGAGAGGCGGGUGAGUUCGCGAAGGAGUGGGUUCCCUUCUGCAGAAAGUAUGGGGUGAAGUUGAGGUGUCCCAAGGUCUUCUUCUCUCCCAUGGGAGAAGAUGAAGACCUUCUUCGCCUCCAGGGAUUCAAGCCUCAUCGUGACCUCAUCAAGGCUAAAUACGAGAAAAUGCAGAAGAACAUCGAGAAAUUUGGUUCAGACCCUAACAAUCUUCGAAUUGUCACCGACAGGGCUCCUCGUAUUGAGAUUAUAAAUGAGGAGCCAGUUUGCCACUUGUGUUUAUGUGUCUCGGGAAAGAAGGCCAUCCCUUCCUCACAAUUCAAAGGAGGAGCCCUCAACACAUUGCUCAGAGUCUCGGGUUUUCUCAGUAAUGCACCUUAUUUCCUAGUAGUGGAUUGUGAUAUGUAUUGCAAUGAUCCAACCUCUGCCAAACAAGCCAUGUGUUCUUCCUUGAUCCUCACACCCUCCAAGAUACUGCAUUGUUCAAUUCCCUCAAUGUUCACAACCUUAAGCAAAAAAGACAUCUACGAUAGUCAAACUAGACUGCUUUUAAGACAAUGUGGCAAGGCAUGGAUGGACUGAGGGUCCUGGUCUUUCUGGCAGUGGAAAUUACUUGAGUAGAAGUGCUUACUAUUGGAAGUCCUAACCAAAAGAAUGACUAUCUGCAAGAGCACAAAAGUACUUUGGCAACUCUACUGGUUCGUUGAAUCACUGAAGGUCAUCCGUGGACAGAAAACUACCAAAAAAAGCAGUUCAAGAGAAGAACGUUGAGAGAAGCUCUUGCAGUGUGCUCCUGUUCCUACGAAAACAACACAAAAUGGGGUACAGAGGUGGGAUUCUCAUAUGUGAUCUUACUUGAGAGUACUGGAACUGGGUAUAUUCUUCAUACCAGAGGAUGGAGAUCAGUUUAUCUUUAUCCCAAACGCCAUGUUUCUUAGGUUGUGCCCCCACUGACAUCAAAGAAGGCAUGAUUCAAUUGGUUAAGUGGUUGUCUGAACUCUCUUGCUUGGUUUCUCCAAAUACAGCCCUUUCACUCAUGGAUUUUUGAGCAUGUCCAUAAUGCAUUCCUUCACUUAUGCUUCCUAACAAUGUCAUCCCUCUAUGCUAUUUCUUCAUCCUAUACGGCAUUGUACCUCAACUAUGCCUCCUCAAAGGAAUCCCUGUCUUUCCAAGGUAUUAUAUUGUCUUAUUUAGCUUGUAACGUGAUGAAGAUAACUUUUGCUGUGACUUGAAAAUGAGAAGGUUUGAUUUUGCUGUUAUGACAGGGACAGACCCUUGGUUGCAGUGUUUGCAUUGUGUUGUAUCCACUCAGAUUCAACAUUUGGUUGAGGUUGUUUCCGGGGAAGGUCUGUGGCAAUGUGGUGGGAUGAACAAAGAAUUUGGAUUCUGAAGUCGGUCACAAGCAUAUUGCAAUACUAGAAGCAAUGAAGAAGCGGUUGGGGUUGAAUAAGAUGAAAUUAGCCUUGUCAAACAAGCUAUCGACGAGAGAAGAUGAAGAAGUAUAGGAAGGUAGGUUCGAUUCCAGGGUGCAGCUGUGUUCAUGGCUCCAAUGGUUCUGUUGCUCAUUAUCACAUUGUUGCCUUCUUUGGUGGGAUAUGGAGAGUAUUGAAUGUGAAGGAUUUUCAAGAAAUGUUUGGUCAACUUUCCUUGUCACCUAUGUAAUGGUUCUGAGUUAUCCCAUUCUUCAUGCCAUAGUAACCAUGAAAAGCAAGAAUGGUAGUGAAAUUUUGUCAUAAAUAAUACGCUCAUUCAAGUCUAUGCUGUACUUGUAUCUUACAAUCAAAUUGCUUAAUAACAUCUUCUCACUUUAGAUCAA